UACGUAGGGACCGAGCGUUGUCCGGAUUCAUUGGGCGUAAAGAGCUCGUAGGCGGCCACUCAAGUCGAAUGUGAAACCUCGAGGCUUAACCUCGAGCCUGCAUUCGAUACUGGGCGGCUAGAGUCUGGUAGGGGGAUCUGGAAUUCCUGGUGUAGCGGUGGAAUGCGCAGAUAUCAGGAGGAACACCGGUGGCGAAGGCGGUUCUCUGGGCAUUAACUGACGCUGAGGAGCGAAAGCAUGGGGAGCGAACAGG
rnacentral:rRNA from 1 species